rnacentral:rRNA from 1 species
GACGAACGCUGGCGGCGUGCCUAAUACAUGCAAGUAGAACGCUGAAGGGAGAGCUUGCUCUUCUGGAUGAGUUGCGAACGGGUGAGUAACGCGUAGGUAACCUGCCUGGUAGCGGGGGAUAACUAUUGGAAACGAUAGCUAAUACCGCAUAAUAGUAGAUGUUGCAUGACAUUUGCUUAAAAGGUGCAAUUGCAUCACUACCAGAUGGACCUGCGUUGUAUUAGCUAGUUGGUGGGGUAACGGCUCACCAAGGCGACGAUACAUAGCCGACCUGAGAGGGUGAUCGGCCACACUGGGACUGAGACACGGCCCAGACUCCUACGGGAGGCAGCAGUAGGGAAUCUUCGGCAAUGGACGGAAGUCUGACCGAGCAACGCCGCGUGAGUGAAGAAGGUUUUCGGAUCGUAAAGCUCUGUUGUAAGAGAAGAACGAGUGUGAGAGUGGAAAGUUCACACUG